rnacentral:rRNA from 1 species
UUGCGGUUAAAAAGCUCGUAGUUGGAUUUCUGCUUGGGGUGGCCGAUGUGCCUUCUGGGUUACAGCCGGUUCAGCCUGAGCAUCUUCUUGGGAAUCGUGUCUGCACUUGAUUGUGUGGCACGGGUUCCAGGACUUUUACUUUGAGGAAAUUAGAGUGUUUCAAGCAGGCGUCCGCCUUGAAUACGUUAGCAUGGAAUAAUGCGACAGGACCUCGGUCCAUUUUGUUGGUUUCUUGGGUUGAGGUAAUGAUUAACAGGGAUGGUUGGGGGCAUUCGUAUUUAACUGUCAGAGGUGAAAUUCUUGGAUUUGUUAAAGACAGACUACUGCGAAAGCAUCUGCCAUGGAUGUUUUCAUUGAUCAAGAACGAAAGUUAGGGGAUCGAAGACGAUCAGAUACCGUCCUAGUCUUAACUAUAAACCAUGCCGGCUAGAGAUGAGAGGUCGUUCAAUUUGUGACACCUUUUGCAUCUUGAGAGAAAUCUAGCCCUUUGGGUUCCGGGGAGAGUAUGGUC